rnacentral:lncRNA from 1 species
CCGAGAGGAAGCGAGCUGAGCCCUGUCAGCUAGCUGCCCUUGAAGACGGACGACUUCGUCGGUCGUCACCCUGAGUCUCCCUUUAUAUUCAUCCACCUGCCUGUACCAGCCAGCCCGAUGCACGUCGUAGCCCGCCUCGACAUCCUGAAGCUGCUACUAAAGGUCGGAGACCUUCUUCGACCACUCCCGAUCGCCGUCGGCCCGAGCCAAGAGCCGGGAUGAACUUUCCUCCAGCUGGCCAAUCC